GUCAUCUUGUGAAAUGCACAACAAAGGGGAUUUUCGCAUAGGUAUGAUUGGUUAUAGUGUCGAUGAUCGUGACACAAGGUCGCAGGUUCGACCUAAAAGUAAUCCUAUUUUGAAUUAAGAUCAACGAACAAAAGGAGUUCGAAGUAGAAACAAUUGUGAUACUGACUCGGGCAUGCAUAUCAUAAACUCAGUCUAAAUUUGCAAACACAACUAAAAACACACACACACCCAAAAAUAACAUCAACGAGGAUAUACAUCCACAAAAUGGAGCUCAAUUUUAUUGCAAAUAGUGAUAAAACUCCGAGCAAACAAUCACUCAUCCACAAAAGCAUGAAAUGAAGUUUUGCCAAAAGGCAUACUGAUACAAUCUCUCCAUUCUUCACAUAUCUUUGAGCUUGGGGUGCUCUCCCAAGACUGAUGAAGGAGCUGAUAUGCAUGCACUUGGCAACUAAGCUUCCUCAAUAAUCAAAUCCAAACAAACCCAUGCACACACUUGACCAUAUGUGCUAUGCAAGCUUUCCCUUUGUGUUAACAAACCAAUUUCUAACCCUAAAAGAGUUUUGAAGGCUAAUGCAUAGCAUUUGACAGUUGAGCUAAAGAAGUCGAAUGCCCAAACUUGAGCAAAAAGAGUAAAUGAAAGUAUGGAUCAUGUAGAAAGGCAUUACCUUCCCUUUGCCUAGAAAUGACUUGCCCCUUUCACUGGUUUCCUCCACUAUUAUCAAAUGGAAGGAGGAUUUCCCUUUAUGGAAUCACAACCCCUCUUCUUCCUCUUCUUCCUCAACAUCUCUACUGCUUACUGAUGUGCUAUGAACUAGAUCAAGCCUAUUAUGGGACUAAGAGAAACCAAAUUUAUAUCUUUCCAAAAGCCACUCUUGGAUUCACCACCGAUCAUCUCGUUUAGAAAAUAGUAGUCGGCGGGAUGCGACACCUUGGCUGUUUGGCACAAAAAAGGGCAUAAGUUAGGCAAAGGAAUGAGUUAUGAUCCAUGAAGUGGUCCCAAACUCAAAUUCUCUUCCUUGGUUCAUG
rnacentral:lncRNA from 1 species